rnacentral:rRNA from 1 species
GAUGAACGCUAGCUACAGGCUUAACACAUGCAAGUCGAGGGGCAGCAUGAACAUAGCUUGCUAUGUUUGAUGGCGACCGGCGCACGGGUGCGUAACACGUAUCCAAUCUGCCCGUUACUCGGGGAUAGCCUUCUGAAAGGAAGAUUAAUACCCGAUGGCAUGUAUUUCCGGCAUCGGAGAUACAUUAAAGAUUUAUCGGUAACGGAUGAGGAUGCGUACGAUUAGCUUGUUGGCGGGGUAACGGCCCACCAAGGCUACGAUCGUUAGGGGUUCUGAGAGGAAGGUCCCCCACACUGGAACUGAGACACGGUCCAGACUCCUACGGGAGGCAGCAGUGAGGAAUAUUGGUCAAUGGGCGCGAGCCUGAACCAGCCAAGUAGCGUGAAGGAUGACUGCCCUACGGGUUGUAAACUUCUUUUGUUGGGAAUAAAUGAUACUACGUGUAGUAUUUUGCAUGUACCUUACGAAUAAGCAUCGGCUAAUUCCGUGCCAGCA